GUGGGGAAUAUUGGACAAUGGGCGCAAGCCUGAUCCAGCCAUGCCGCGUGAGUGAUGAAGGCCUUAGGGUUGUAAAGCUCUUUUGUCCGGGAAGAUAAUGACUGUACCGGAAGAAUAAGCCCCGGCUAACUUCGUGCCAGCAGCCGCGGUAAUACGAAGGGGGCUAGCGUUGCUCGGAAUCACUGGGCGUAAAGGGCGCGUAGGCGGACUCUUAAGUCGGGGGUGAAAGCCCAGGGCUCAACCCUGGAAUAGCCUUCGAUACUGAGAGUCUUGAGUUCGGAAGAGGUUGGUGGAAUUGCGAGUGUAGAGGUGAAAUUCGUAGAUAUUCGCAAGAACACCAGUGGCGAAGGCGGCCAACUGGUCCGAUACUGACGCUGAGGCGCGAAAGCGUGGGGAGCAAACAGGAUUAGAUACCCCAGUAGUCC
rnacentral:rRNA from 1 species